rnacentral:lncRNA from 1 species
AUGUGUGAACUGAACACAUUCCCACUCCAAACAGUGAUGGCUCUGAAUGUAUCCAAGAACUGGCAGACUGCCUUACUGCCAGCUGCAGAAGCAUGCCCGGCCCCUGCUGCUGCUCAUUUAAGCUGCACAGGAAACCCUGUAGCGCUGAUACAGCUGUGGGUCAUCAGCUCGUCAGUAUCAAAUGCUCAGUCAGGUUGUUUCCUACCUUGUCACUGUCUACAGUGUUCUGGGAUGUCCUGGAUGCAAUUGAGAUGGUGUCUGGUUGGCUGCUGCCGUCUCCCUGACUGUCUCCGUCUUCACCUCCCUCCCUGCAAAAACACGCAGCACAACCAGGAUGAAUGCCAAGGUGUAAAUGUGAAUGUAUUUGAGUGAAAUUACAGUGUUUCUGCAAAAACAUUGUAUUUCUGCAAAAUCAUAGUAUUUCUCUC